rnacentral:rRNA from 1 species
CGGACGGGUGAGUAACACGUGGGAACGUGCCUUUAGGUUCGGAAUAGCUCCUGGAAACGGGUGGUAAUGCCGAAUGUGCCCUUCGGGGGAAAGAUUUAUCGCCUUUAGAGCGGCCCGCGUCUGAUUAGCUUGUUGGUGAGGUAAUGGCUCACCAAGGCUACGAUCAGUAGCUGGUCUGAGAGGAUGACCAGCCACAUUGGGACUGAGACACGGCCCAAACUCCUACGGGAGGCAGCAGUGGGGAAUCUUGCGCAAUGGGCGAAAGCCUGACGCAGCCAUGCCGCGUGGAUGAUGAAGGUCUUAGGAUUGUAAAAUCCUUUCACCGGUGAAGAUAAUGACUGUAGCCGGAGAAGAAGCCCCGGCUAACUUCGUGCCAGCAGCCGCGGUAAUACGAAGGGGGCUAGCGUUGCUCGGAAUUACUGGGCGUAAAGGGAGCGUAGGCGGACAUUUAAGUCAGGGGUGAAAUCCCAGAGCUCAACUCUGGAACUGCCUUUGAUACUGGGUGUCUUGAGUGUGAUAGAGGUAUGUGGAACUCCGAGUGUAGAGGUGAAAUUCGUAGAUAUUCGGAAGAACACCAGUGGCGAAGGCGACAUACUGGA